AACGUGCCGAGUAGUGGGGGAUAACGCAGCGAAAGUUGUGCUAAUACCGCAUACGUACUGAGGUAGAAAGUGGGGGACCUUCGGCCUCACGCUAUUCGAGCGGCCGACGUCUGAUUAGCUAGUAGGUGAGGUAAAGGCUCACCUAGGCGACGAUCAGUAGCGGGUCUGAGAGGAUGAUCCGCCACACUGGGACUGAGACACGGCCCAGACUCCUACGGGAGGCAGCAGUGGGGAAUUUUGGACAAUGGGCGAAAGCCUGAUCCAGCCAUGCCGCGUGUCUGAAGAAGGCCUUCGGGUUGUAAAGGACUUUUGUCAGGGAGGAAAUCCCUAGUGYUAAUAACACUGGGGGAUGACAGUACCUGAAGAAUAAGCACCGGCUAACUACGUGCCAGCAGCCGCGGUAAUACGUAGGGUGCGAGCGUUAAUCGGAAUUACUGGGCGUAAAGCGUGCGCAGGCGGUUUGAUAAGCCAGAUGUGAAAUCCCCGAGCUCAACUUGGGAACUGCGUUUGGAACUGUCAGACUAGAGUGCGUCAGAGGGGGGUGGAAUUCCGCGUGUAGCAGUGAAAUGCGUAGAGAUGCGGAGGAACACCGAUGGCGAAGCAGCCCCCUGGGAUGACAC
rnacentral:rRNA from 1 species